rnacentral:rRNA from 1 species
UACGUAGGAUGCGAGCGUUGUCCGGAAUUAUUGGGCGUAAAGCGAACGUAGGCGGUUUCUUAAGAUUGGUCUUAAAGACCGGGGCUCAACCCCGGGAAUGGAUCGAUAACUGGGAGACUGGAGGACGUCAGAGGAAAGUGGAAUUCCGAGUGUAGCGGUGAAAUGCGUAGAUAUUCGGAGGAACACCAGUGGCGAAAAGCGACUUUCUGGGACGUUCCUGACGCUGAGGUUCGAAAGCUCGGGGAGCAAACAGG